GACGAACGCUGGCGGCGUGCCUAAUACAUGCAAGUCGAGCGGACUUUCCAGAAUCUUGCUCGGUGGAAGUUAUCGGCGGACGGGAGAGUAACACGUGGGCAACCUACCUGCAAGACGGGGAUAACUCCGCGAAACCGGGGCUAUUACCGGAUAAUAUCUUCCUUCGCAUGAAGCACGGUUGAAAGUCGGUGCAUGCUGCGGCUUGCAGCUGGGCCCGCGGCGCAUUAGCUAGUUGUUGAGGUAACGGCCCACCACAGCGAGGAUGGGUAGCCGACCUGAGAGGGGGAGAGGCCAAGCUGGGACGGGGACACGGCCCAGAAUACUGCGGGAGGGAGCAGGAGGGGAUCUUCCGGAAAGGACGCAAGGCUGACGGAGAGACGCCGCGUGAGAGAAGAAGGUCGUCGGAUCGUAAAGCUCAGUUGUCAGGGAAGAACAAGUACCGUUCGAAGAGGGCGGUACCUUGACGGUACCUGACCAGAAAGCCACGGCUAACUACGUG
rnacentral:rRNA from 1 species